rnacentral:rRNA from 1 species
GACGAACGCUGGCGGCGUGCCUAAUACAUGCAAGUAGAACGCACAGUUUAUACCGUAGCUUGCUACACCAUAGACUGUGAGUUGCGAACGGGUGAGUAACGCGUAGGUAACCUGCCUGGUAGCGGGGGAUAACUAUUGGAAACGAUAGCUAAUACCGCAUAAUAUUAAUUAUUGCAUGAUAAUUAAUUGAAAGGUGCAAUUGCACCACUACCAGAUGGACCUGCGUUGUAUUAGCUAGUAGGUGAGGUAACGGCUCACCUAGGCGACGAUACAUAGCCGACCUGAGAGGGUGAUCGGCCACACUGGGACUGAGACACGGCCCAGACUCCUACGGGAGGCAGCAGUAGGGAAUCUUCGGCAAUGGACGAAAGUCUGACCGAGCAACGCCGCGUGAGUGUAGAAGGUUUUCGGAUCGUAAAGCUCUGUUGUAAGAGAAGAACGGGUGUGAGAGUGGAAAGUUCACACUGUGACGGUAUCUUACCAGAAAGGGACGGCUAACUACGUG